GGAAGGAGAAAGUUGACCUCUUGUCUCCUGCACUUGGCUCAACUGGAAGAAAGUCAGCAGAGAACCUAAAAGUCUACUGAGGUUUUAAUGACUUCCUCCAUCAUCUCACUUACUCUUCAGUGCUGACAUCAGUCAGACCACAGAAGAAUGGGAGUGCAUGGACAACUGGUGAGUCAGACAUUUCCCUUGAAGUACUCUGAUACAAAACCAUACAGCUCCAUGGAAAUCUGCUGCUUUCUGUACACUGCCAGAAGCAGGCAGUAGAGACUUGAGUGUGACUCAGGAGUUAAGCACUGGGAAAGCCCAGUGGUCUGGUCCCUGGAAAAGCUGAGCACGUUUAGGAGAACCAUGGUAAGUUUUGUCAUUAG
rnacentral:lncRNA from 1 species